AGUCUUCGGGGCAGGGCGCAAUUCCCUACCGGCGGUACAGUCCGCGACCACAAGGGGUCUUUAUGGGAUCCGGCGUGAAUGAACCGGUGCAAUUCCGGUACCGACAGUGACAGUCUGGAUGAGAGAAGAUG
rnacentral:ncRNA from 1 species